rnacentral:tRNA from 1 species
GGGGAUUUAGCUCAGCGGCAUAAGCGCCUGCCUUUAAAGCAGGCAGUCGUGAGUUUGAUCCCCAGUACCUA